rnacentral:rRNA from 1 species
GAUGAACGCUGGCGGCGUGCCUAAUACAUGCAAGUCGAGCGAACAGACGAGGAGCUUGCUCCUCUGACGUUAGCGGCGGACGGGUGAGUAACACGUGGAUAACCUACCUAUAAGACUGGGAUAACUUCGGGAAACCGGAGCUAAUACCGGAUAAUAUAUUGAACCGCAUGGUUCAAUAGUGAAAGACGGUUUUGCUGUCACUUAUAGAUGGAUCCGCGCCGCAUUAGCUAGUUGGUAAGGUAACGGCUUACCAAGGCGACGAUGCGUAGCCGACCUGAGAGGGUGAUCGGCCACACUGGAACUGAGACACGGUCCAGACGCCUACGGGAGGCAGCAGUAGGGAAUCUUCCGCAAUGGGCGAAAGCCUGACGGAGCAACGCCGCGUGAGUGAUGAAGGUCUUCGGAUCGUAAAACUCUGUCAUUAGGGAAGAACAAAUGUGUAAGUAACUAUGCACGUCUUGACGGUACCUAAUCAGAAAGCCACGGCUAACUACGUG